UACGGAGGGUGCGAGCGUUAAUCGGAAUUACUGGGCGUAAAGGGUGCGUAGGUGGUUAAUUAAGUUAGAUGUAAAACCCUGGGCUUAACCUGGGACUGAGAUUUAAUACUGAUUAACUGGAGUAUUGGAGAGGGUAGUGGAAUUUCCGGUGUAGCGGUGAAAUGCGUAGAGAUCGGAAGGAACACCAGUGGCGAAGGCGGCUACCUGGCCAGAUACUGACACUGAAGCACGAAAGCGUGGGGAGCAAACAGGAUUAGAUA
rnacentral:rRNA from 1 species